GCCCGGCGUUCCCUCCCCUUCCGUGCGCAAGUGGAGGCCGGGGUGGGGCGGGGCAGGCGCAGCCUGGGCUGAGUUUGCGGGGCUGCUCCCCUCACCCAACCCCUUCGAGUCCUCCGCGGGCUCCGCCUCACCCGGCCCGUGGGGGAGGUUCCGUCCCGCCGCCUUCGCCCGCUCGCUGCACUCGCGGACGGUCUCUGCUCGCCUUGGGCGCGCCAUGGCGCGCGGGGCUGCGCUGGCGCUGCUGCUCCUCGGCCUGCUCCGCCCUCUGGUGGCCACCCCGGGGCUGACUUUGACUUAGCGGUGCCUUUCGUGAUGGAGGAAACAGUGACCCAGCACCACCUAAUCCCCCCAAACCAAAGCCAGAUCCAGACUCCAACCGACCUGGUUUCACUGGGGCUGACUUUGACUUAGCAGAUGCCUUUGGUGAUGGAGGAAACAGUGACCCAGCAUCACCUAAUCCCCCCAAACCAAAGCCAGAUCCAAAUCCCAACUGACCUGGUUUCACUGAUAAGAGCCUCUAACCCUACGGGGUGGUCUCCAUGUUGUUUACCUGGCAGUGAUGUCCGUGUCAUCUGAGAAGGGGAGAUUUCAGCCACCUUCUGGUCUCUAAUCUGUUCAUGUGAGAGAAGAGUGAUGUGAAAAUGGUCAGGAAUUUGCUUUUUCUGAUGAGAUCCUGGGGCUGACUUUGACUUAGCAGAUGCCUUUCGUGGUGGAGGAAACAAUGACCCAGCACCUCCUAAUUCACCCAAGCCAAAGCCAAACGCGAACCCUGAGCAGCCUGGAUUCAUUGGGGAUGACUUUGACUUAGCAGAUGCCUUACAUGACAGAGGAAACUGGGAUGACUUUGAUUUCACAGAUGUUUCUUCAUGGUGAAUGAAACAACGCUAAGCAACAUGAGAGUGAGUGUCUGGCCAUGGUUUGCUCAUCUGUGCAUCUCCAGGACUGGCUGGGUUCCUGGGUGUGAAGAAGCAGAGGUCCACACACAUGGGUGAACCUGUGCUGCUUCUCACCACCACAUUGCUUGGCUUCCUUAUUUCCUUCCUCUCACCUGGAAUGCCUACCCUGCACUUCUCUUCAACGCCAACACCAUCAUUUAGCACCUCGUUCAGCUCCCAGGCAUCCUAGAAGUCUUUCCUGACCCCAGGGAUGCAUCGUGGCGCACAAUUCCUGCAGCUGCCACUAUGGUGCAAGAUGAGUCUAGAAGAACAGUUUUGCUGUGCGGUCACCCUUACGCGCUGUUGUGAUUUUGCCUUUAAGAUAUUGAAAAAGACACAGAAAACACACACCAUCCGAUCACUUAGUUGCAGGCACAUCGCCCGAUGCUAAGAAUAUGCUGUGUUUUAGAUUGACGUCUGUUGGCUCUUCAGCUUCUGCGCCGGGCUUCUUAUGUCCCCUCUCAGUCCUGAAUCCCACUCCCCCAAUCUCGGUAACUUUGGUGGCUUUUGCACCAGCCAAAAUCAGAUCCUAGGUCUUCAGCAAAACCAAGAGCAAGGAACAAAAUUCCCCAUGGGAAUCCGAGACAUCACUCUAAUGACUUCACUUGCUGUUGACUUGAUUUCCUUCAACUGCUGCCGGGGGUUAGAUAAGUUUUCUCUUGCUUCUAGGACAAAGGCUCACAGACUUUGCAGCUUAAAACAAUACACAUUUCUUUGCUUACAGUUCUGGAGGUAAGAAGUCUGAAAUGGGUUUCCCGGGGCUCCCAUCAAGGUGUCAGCAGGGCUGGCUUCCUUCUGGAGGCUCUAGGAGAGAAAGGGUUUGCUUCACAUUUCCAGCUUCUAGAAGCUGCCCACACACCUUGUUAUGUGGCUGCUCCCUCCAUCUUCAAAGCCAGCAGUGUAGCAUCUUCCAAUCUCUCUCUAACUCUGACCCUCUUGCUUCCCUCUUUCAAUGAUAAAGACCCAUGUGAUAACAUUGGUCCUACCUGGGUAAUCCAGUAAUGUCUUCUCAUCUCAAGCUCAGCUGAUCAGCAACCUUCAUUCCAUCUGCAACCUUCAUUUCCCUUGCACAGGUUCUGGGAAUCAGGACAUGGAUGUCUUUGGAUCCUGCUAUUGCUUCUGCCUACAACUGGUGUUACAAGACUUGGCCCACUUAAUCUUGCAAAUCCUUUCCGCCCCUCUUAAUGAGAUCUGUUCUCUAUGAAUGCUCAGGACCUCAGGAGUAGGGACUCCAAAGGCUGGGGGCAAAGUAGAUGUGACGGGCGCCAAGCAUAGGCUGUGUGACCAGAUUUGGUCAUGUGAUUACAUUGUGAGGUGACCCAGGCAUUUUCGUUAGGAAGGAAAAUGGUUGUAGGAGGAGGAAAUUGAACACAACCCACACGUGGGUGGUUGGAAAAUCUGAGAGCUCUCAUGGGCAUGCUCAUCCAUUUCACUCACCAUGGUACAGGGGAAAUUCUUAGACCUGUCAGUGCAACUAUUUGAAAUAAACAUCCAAGAAAGUCAGCAAACUUCAGGUGGGAUGAAGUCAGAGAUCCACCCUGAAGCACAGUGAAAGCCACAAGACAGAAGUGACUGAUCCCAUCCCAGGGAUCCUAAAGAAGAUUAUCAUCAGACUUCCCAUCGGAAACUUUGGAAGUCAGAAGGCAGUAGGCCGAUAAAUUCAAAAUGCUAAAAAACAAAACCAAUGAGAACAUGCUAACCAAGAAAAAAAAAUACUACAUGGCUGAAGAAAUCAUGCAGAAAUCUUAGCAACAUUUUAAAUGAUCCAACAAGGUCUGUUGUUUCUGUGCAGAUAUGGGCAAACAUGAGCUUGUAUAGCUUAUUUUUAUGGGUGCAAGGAGCAUGCAGUUAUCUCCCCUAGCAUGUUUUUUGUUUGUUUGUUUGUUUGUGUGCUUUGAGAUGUCGCCCAGGCUGGAGUGCAGUGGCACAAUCUUGGCUCACUGCAACCUCCGUCUCCCGGGUUCAAGCAGUUCCCUGCCUCAGCCUCCCAAGUAGCUGAGAUUACAGGUGCCCGCCACCACGCCCAGCUAGUUUUUGUAUUUUUAAUAGAGAUGGGGUUUCAGCAUCUUGGCCAAGGCUGGUCUUGAACUCCUGACCUCGUGAUCCACCCACGUCAGCCUCCCAAAGUGCUGGGAUUACAGGUGUGAGCCACCGUGUCCAGCCUGUUUUUCUUUUUAACUCAUGAAUAAGUUCAGAAUUUAGUUCCAGAUACGUGAGAGCUCCUUGUAGAUGUUUUUCAUGGUGAGUCAGCUGGCUCACCCGACCUUGUCUGACUUCUUCCUUUAUCUUCCCAACAGUUCAGCACCUUGGUGCAGUACAGGGUCCCAUUAGCAGGUCUCAUUUCCCACCACUGACUGAACAUCAGCAGGCUCAAUCCACAAGUCAGGGGCUGGGGAUGGCUUGUCAAGAAUUCCCUUUUUAGGGGCAGGAAUGAAAUUUAUAACAACAUCCAUGCUGCUUGAUGGAACCCUCUCUACAUGGCAGGUGCUUUGCAAGCACUUUCAGAAAAUCUGCACCAAACUUAGAGUAAGAAUGAUCGCUGUCAUUCUACAAGUCAGAAACUUGAAGAUCAGAUUGGUGACGUGUUCAGCUAAUGCACUGCUAAUAAACAGCAGAAGUGAAAUUCAAAUAUCAAGACAUUUGUCCUGAAAGUCUCUGCUUGCAACUAGAUUAUGGCCCUGAUAUCCUAGGGGUGAAUCAGUCUCAGUUUCCCUUCCCGGACCCCCAGCAAGUAGUACAUGGGAAUUAUUCUAGUCCGGUAUAGCAGGGAGCAGUGUAAACAGAUAAACAAGGUUUUCCGGGGCCCUGGUUUAGGCAAAUAAAUCUUACAACAUUAUCUGGCUCUUUCAAGUAGUCUUUCUAGACUGUUUUGCCCAAUGGAAAAUAGUGUUUGUAUCUUUAGAAAAUGUAAUACGUGUUUUUCCCCUCUCAAUAUUUUGCAGGGCAGAGAUAUUACUUUGAUCUAUUUUCACAUUAUAAUUAUUAUUUGAGGUCUCAAUUAAGACCAGCGUCUUCAUCUGUGUGGGGCUCUGAGUUAAGGGCUUUCCGUAGACUCACUGCUGUGCCGUUUCUUCUAACUCCCUUGAGCAGAGGCCAGCAGUAGAGAAACUUGAUAAAUAACACAAGUGCUACAGUCCCUGAGCCCUCUAAGAAAUAAGACACAAAGGAAAGAUCCACGAACAUUUUCACAGAUGUGCCCAAUUCCGGUGGCCCCCGGUUUCCCACCCUGCCGUUGAUAUUCUGCCACCCAUAGUCAUGAUCAUUGGCUACAAUACAGCAGGCAAGGCUGUGCAGGAAUGAUGUUACAGGUGGGCUCAUGGCUACAUGGAUGUCUAGAACUGUCUAGGUGUCCAUAUGCAGGAACUGAGGGAAAGUGAGAAGGAGGGAAGGAUGGGUGAAUGGAUGGAUAGAUAAAUGGAUGGAAAGGUGGACGAAUGGAUAGAUGCAUGAAUGGAUGGUGAAUUGGUGGGUAAAAUGGAGGGAUAGAUGGGUGUUUGGAUGGAUAUUUGGAUGGAUGGGUAGAUGGGUGGAUGGAUGGAUAUAGGUGGGUGGAUGGAUGAAUGAAUGGCUGAGUGGAUGGGUAGACGGAUGGAUGGAGAGAUGGAUAAGUGUUUGAUGGAUGAAUAGACACAUACAUGGAUGGACAGGUGUUUGGGUGGAUGCGUAGGUGGAAAGGUGGAUGGAUAGAUAGAUUGAUGGGUAGAUGGAUGGGUAGAUGGAUGGAUGGAUCAGCGAAUAGAUGUGUCAAUGAAUAGGGGGAUGUAUCAUUGGUGGGAUGGGUGAGUGGUUUGGUGGAUGAGUAGAUGGAUGAGUGGGUGGAUGGAUGGAUGGAUGGAUGGUUAGAUGAGUGGAUGAGUAGAUGAGUGGAUGGGUGGAUGGAUGGAUGGAUGGAUGGAUGGAUGGAUGGAUAGAUGGAUAGGUAGAUAAGUAGAUGAUUGAAUGGAUGGAUGGAUGCAUGAAUAAACAGGUUCAUGGAUGGGUGGAUGAGUAGAUAGAUGGAUGGAUGGAUGUGGGUGGCUGGCUAGAUAUGUAGAUAGAUGCAAAGGUGAAUUCAAAGAGAAGGAUAGAUUUGUGAGGAUGAAAGUGAGAAUUUUUCUCCUUAGGUCAUCAGGGGAAAAUUAAAUCCUUACCCACGGAGACAUCUUUCAUUUGAGUCAGGUGGAGGCUCUCUUUUUCUCUCUCCUGGUGACCAGGACAAAGAGAAAUGCAGGUGUAGAGAGCUCUGAUCAGGGAGCCUUGCCUGCCUCUUGUCCUGGGUGACCUUUACCAAAUCCUCUCCUGUGUUGGGUCUCCCUAACCUUGAUUUUCAAAUGGUGGGUUCAGGCCUUUGCCUUUUCUGUGUCUGUGGUUCUCUGUCAUCCACCAAAUCUCCCAGGGAGCCCCUUCCUGCCUCCCCUCUGUCCCUUUGGCCCCCACUCCAGACCCCAGAUUGGGUUCAGGAUUCCUCUGUAGAAGUCAUUGAUGGGAGUCCACACCCUGAAAAUGCCUUUAGUCUUCAUUCCAGCCUCUCCUCUCUGCCAAGUGAGCUGCCCUUGCCGGCAGCAGUCACUUCCUCACACAGGGAUGCUUGUUUCAGCACACUGAGUAGGUGCCGUCUCCUGAGUGGGAAUUGGCUUGGCACAGGCGACCGUAUGACAUUGUUUCAAAAAGUCAUUCAAAUUCUUUGUCUUGUACAUCCUGUCUGGAAGCACGUAUAUACAUUCCCGCCUCCCCACUGGGCACGCUCUUACCCUUGCCCUGCCAUUCUGGUGCUAGGAGCUGUCUGUGCUGUCCACUGGGUGGACAGAGAUGUCUUCCCCAUGAAAAGGGGAAUCAGGGUCUUUAUCUAUCUCUUAGAAGCCAGGCAUUGGGCACCAGGGCUCAUGAACAGCUGAUUUUUGAAGUGGUCCCAGGGGAAGCUGAG